GACGAACGCUGGCGGCGUGCUUAACACAUGCAAGUCGAACGGAAAGGCCUGCUUUCCCUUGUGGAUUGCGGGUACUCGAGUGGCGAACGGGUGAGUAACACGUGAGUGAUCUGCCCCCAACUUGGGUAUAAGCCUGGGAAACUGGGUCUAAUUCCCGAUAGGACUGCAGGGUGGUGCCUGUGGUGGAAAACGAUUUUCUAGUGGUUGGGGAUGAGCUCGCGGCCUAUCAGCUUGUUGGUGGGGUAAUGGCCUACCAAGGCGGCGACGGGUAGCCGGCCUGGGAGGGUGGACGGCCACAUUUGGACUGAGAUACGGCCCAGACUCCUACGGGAGGCAGCAGUGGGGAAUAUUGCACAAUGGGCGGAAGCCUGAUGCAGCGACGCCGCGUGGGGGAUGACGGCCUUCGGGUUGUAAACUCCUUUCGACCGCGAGGAAGCCACCUGGUUGGAAGGGUGGUGACGGUAGUGGUAGAAGAAGCACCGGCUAACUACGUG
rnacentral:rRNA from 1 species